GAUGAAGAACGCAGCGAAAUGCGAUAAGUAAUGUGAAUUGCAGAAUUCAGUGAAUCAUCGAAUCUUUGAACGCACAUUGCGCCCGCCAGUAUUCUGGCGGGCAUGCCUGUUCGAGCGUCAUUACAACCCUCAGGCCCCCGGGCCUGGCGUUGGGGAUCGGCAGAAGCCCCCUGCGGGCACAACGCCGUCCCCCAAAUACAGUGGCAGUCCCGCCGCAGCUUCCAUUGCGUAGUAGCUAACACCUCGCAACUGGAGAGCGGCGCGGCCACGCCGUAAAACACCCAACUUCUGAAUGUUGACCUCGAAUCAGGUAGGAAUACCCGCUGAACUUAAGCAUAUCAAUAAGCGGAGGA
rnacentral:misc_RNA from 1 species